UACGGGGGGAGCAAGCGUUGUUCGGAUUUACUGGGCGUAAAGGGCGCGUAGGCGGUCAGCACAAGUCAGUUGUGAAAUCUCCGGGCUUAACUCGGAAAGGUCAACUGAUACUGUGCGACUAGAGUGCAGAAAGGGGCAACUGGAAUUCUCGGUGUAGCGGUGAAAUGCGUAGAUAUCGAGAGGAACACCAGUGGCGUAGGCGGCUCGCUGGGCCAUUCCUGACGCUGAGACGCGAAAGCUAGGGGAGCGAACAGG
rnacentral:rRNA from 1 species